rnacentral:rRNA from 1 species
UAAGGAAUAUUGCUCAAUGGGAGAAAUCCUGAAGCAGCAACGCCGCGUGAGGGACGAAGGGCUUUUGCUUGUAAACCUCUGUAGUGAGAGAAAAAACCUCCAAUCUUUGGAGCAUGAUGGUAUCUCAAAAGUAAGCCCCGGCUAACUACGUGCCAGCAGCCGCGGUAAUACGUAGGGGGCAAACGUUGUCCGGAUUUACUGGGUGUAAAGGGUGCUCAGGCGGUCUUGUAAGUUAGAAGUGAAAUCUCAG